AGUCAACAUGCCCAAAGGACGUGGAUAACCUCGGGAAACUGAGGAUAAACCGCGAUAGGCCAAGGUUUCUGGAAUGAGCCCUGGCCGAAAUCUAUAUGGCCUUUGGAUUGGACUGCGGCCGAUCAGGCUGUUGGUGAGGUAAUGGCCCACCAAACCUGUAACCGGUACGGGCUUUGAGAGAAGGAGCCCGGAGAUGGGCACUGAGACAAGGGCCCAGGCCCUAUGGGGCGCAGCAGGCGCGAAACCUCUGCAAUAGGCGAAAGCCUGACAGGGUUACUCUGAGUGAUGCCCGCUAAGGGUAUCUUUUGGCACCUCUAAAAAUGGUGCAGAAUAAGGGGUGGGCAAGUCUGGUGUCAGCCGCCGCGGUAAUACCAGCACCCCGAGUUGUCGGGACGAUUAUUGGGCCUAAAGCAUCCGUAGCCUGUUCUGCAAGUCCUCCGUUAAAUCCACCUGCUNCACGGAUGGGCUGCGGAGGAUACCGCAGAGCUAGGAGGCGGGAGAGGCAAACGGUACUCAGUGGGUAGGGGUAAAAUCCAUUGAUCUACU
rnacentral:rRNA from 1 species